rnacentral:rRNA from 1 species
GAUCCCAUCAGAACUCCGAAGUUAAGCGUGCUUUGGCGAGAGUAGUACUAGGAUGGGUGACCCCCUGGGAAGUCCUCGUGUUGCACCC